rnacentral:rRNA from 1 species
UACGUAGGGACCAAGCGUUGUUCGGAUUUACUGGGCGUAAAGGGCGCGUAGGCGGCGUGUUAAGUCAGCUGUGAAAUCUCCAAGCUUAACUUGGAACGGUCAGCUGAUACUGAUGUGCUAGAGUGCAGAAAGGGCAAUCGGAAUUCUUGGUGUAGCGGUGAAAUGCGUAGAUAUCAAGAGGAACACCUGAGGCGAAGGCGGGUUGCUAGGCUGACACUGACGCUGAGGCGACGAAAGCUAGGGUAGCAAACGGG